rnacentral:rRNA from 1 species
AGCCGGGGCUUCUUCUACGGCUACAGUCAUCAUCGUCACCGUUGAAAGAGCUUUACAACCCUAGGGCCUUCUUCACUCACGCGGCAUGGCUGGAUCAGGUUGCCCCCAUUGUCCAAUAUUCCCC